rnacentral:rRNA from 1 species
AUUUAAAAUUUAUUUAAAAUUAUUAGAAUUAAUUUAAAAGUAAAUAAAGUAGUAGAAUUAUUAAAGUUUUAGUAAUAUUAAGAAAAAAUAUUUUAUAAAUAAUUAAAAUUGUAAAAGAAUUAAUAAAAUUUUUAAAAGAAAAUUUAAUUUAUUGUACCUUUUGUAUCAGGGAUUAUUUAAUUUAAAUAUAAAAAUUUAUAUAUCUCGAAUUAAAAAGAGCUAAUUUAAAAAUAUAGUUAAUGUUUAAUAAUUAUUAUAAAUUUUAAAUUAGAAAUGAAAUGUUAAGCGAUUUUUAAGAUAUCUAGUUUUUUAAUAUAAAAAUUUAAUUUUUUUAUAAUUAUAAAUUAUUAAUAAAUUAAAAUAAAUAAUUGUAUUAUGAAAAAUUAUUUAUGGGAUAAUCUAUAAAUUUAUUUUAAAUAAGUUUAAAAUUUUUAUUAAAAAUUUAGAAAUUGAAAUUUUUAAAAUUAUUGAGUUUUUAAUAAUUAAUUAAUUAAUAAAUUAAAUUUUAAAAUUUAUUAAUUUAAUAUUAAAAUAGAAGAUUAAAAUUAUAAAAAAAUUAAAAUAAUGAUAAUAUAAGUAUAAAUUAAUGUUUAAAUUGAUUAAUUCAAUAAAUUAAUUUAAGGAAUUAGGCAAAAAUUAAAAUUCACUUGUUUAACAAAAACAUGUUUUUUUGAAAUUAAUAUAAAAUUUUCUCUGCCCAAUGAAAAUUUAAAUGGCCGCAGUAUUUUGACUGUGCAAAGGUAGCAUAAUAAAUAGUUUUUUAAAUGAAGACUAGAAUGAAUGAGAGGAUGAAAUUUUAACUGUCUCAAAUUAAAAAUUAUAAAUUUAUUUUAAGUUAAAAUUCUUAAAUAAAUUUAAGGGACGAGAAGACCCUAUAGAAUUUAAAAAUUUUGUAUUAAUUUUAUUUAUAAAAUUAAAAUUUAUUAAUAAAAAAUUUUUUUAUUGGGAAGAUAUUAAAAUUUAAUUAACUUUUAAUUUUAAAAUUCAAUAAUUAAUGAAUUUAUAAAAUUAUUAUUUAAAAUAAGAUAAAAUUACCUUAGGGAUAACAGCGUAAUAAAUUUUUAAAGUUCAAAUUAAAAAAUUUGAUUGCGACCUCGAUGUUGAAUUAAAAUAAAAUUUAAGUGAAGAAGC